rnacentral:rRNA from 1 species
GAUGAACGCUGGCGGCGUGCUUAACACAUGCAAGUCGAACGAAGCACUUUAUUUGAUUUCCUUCGGGACUGAUUAUUUUGUGACUGAGUGGCGGACGGGUGAGUAACGCGUGGGUAACCUGCCUUGUACAGGGGGAUAACAGUUGGAAACGGCUGCGAAUACCGCAUAAGCGCACGGCGUCGCAUGAUGCAGUGUGAAAAACUCCGGGGGUAUAAGAUGGACCCGCGUUGGAUUAGCUAGUUGGUGAGGUAACGGCCCACCAAGGCGACGAUCCAUAGCCGACAUGAGAGGGUGACCGGCCACAUUGGGACUGAGACACGGACCAAACUAUUACGGGAGGCAGGAGUGGGGAAUAUUGCACAAUGGGCGAAAGCAUGAUGCAGCGACGCCGCGUGAGCGAAGAAGUGUUUCGGUAUGUAAAGCUCUAUCAGCAGGGAAGAUAAUGACGGUACCUGACUAAGAAGCACCGGCUAAAUACGUG